GUGAUCCGCCCGCCUCGGCCUCCCAAAGUGCUGGGAUUACAAGCGUGAGCCACCGCGCCCGGCCCGAGAAGGAUUUAUUCUUGCACCCAGGGUGUGCGGAGGGGCCCAGGGGCAGCUGGACCUGUGUUGACGUCCGGAAGGGCCUGGAACCCGGGAAGCUCUGCCCGCGGAGGGUAUUUCUCUCCCUCUGAAGACCACCUCAAAGUUCAACCUUAUCACCUCCACGCAUGAGACCGCCGGGGGCUGAACUAAAAUCUCACCAUCCCAAUUCCAGUUUCUGGGAAUUGUCACCUCCAUUCGCUCUCAUUGAAAUCCAGCUUUUUUCACGAGGUGAAUAACAGGGCAGUUGACAGUUCCCAAGUUUUCUGUGUCCAAUCUUCAGCCCUGGAGGGACUCUUCUGCUCCAAGUCCAGCGAUCCCAGGAGGGGGCCCACUGGUCCAGUACGGCUCAGUACCCAGCCCUGGAUCCAUCAGCUGAGGCUGGAAGGAGUGGGUCAUGAAGAACUCAGCACGAACGCAGCUGGGUACGAAUUCCCAGAGGUGUCCUGUCCCUCCACGAGAAGGAUACUGAGGCUUAGUGAAGGCAAGACAUGCUCAUGCUCGCCAAGCUGGGGAGUGGUGGAGAGUGAAGUGUAAGACUUCUCGGUUCUACGGCCACUCCUUCCAUCCAUUGCUACAGGUCCAGGGGCCCAGGUAAUCUGAUUCCCUGUGCCCCACAGCCCACCCUGCCAGACCCCCUCCUGCCGCUGCUUCUCCUGGCUUCCCCUCUUUAGACAGAAGGCAGACCAGGAGAUAGAUCAGGCCUCAGGCCGCUGCUCAGCCCCACCCGUCCUAACCCCUGAGGGGAUGAGAGGGCAGCCUCCACAACGUGUCCCUAAAUGCCCCUGCCCCCCUGCCCCAGGUUCUCAGAGAAGAGGGAGAGCUGUGGGGGCUGAGGAGCAUCUCUGGGAGGGACGGUGGGGUUUCUCCCCGAAGAGCCCCUCAGAUGCAGGCACCCCUCACCCCGCGGUCACUGCUUCUCUACCAGCUCCUUUUCAGCUGCUGCUGCAGCCUCAGUUUCUCAGGGAGGGUCUCCACCAGCUUGGAGGUGGGUAGGGGGAAGCAGUGAGCACAUUCCAGGCUGAGCCCUCCCCGUGGGCAGCGAGGGCUUGGGAGGAGCUUGAGUGACAGAGUGUGGGGAAGGAAAGAUCAAGGCCAUCGUGGGCACCAUGCGGCAGGCACCAGGGAUCGGGCCUGGGGGAGCCUGUGGGAGCCAUGCAGGCCAGUCAGAACACAGUGCAGGGGGGUAGCUGCUGAGCACCUGGUCCUGGGCAGCCUCCAGGGCCCACUGCUGAGCUCUCAGCUCUGAAUCUCGAGCUUCCAGCACAUUGCAGACCUUCUCAAGCUCAGUCUGCAUCUCAGCCAGCUCUGAACCCACCUCCUGCAAAGAAGUCUGUGAUGGAGGAGGGUGGGGCUGGCGCGUGUCUUGAUCUGGAGCCUCCCCAAGAACUUCGCUCCCCCUUGGAUUCAGAGCUCCAGCCUCACAGGGGCCUUCCUAGGGACUGUUCUUUGCCCCAAAGAGCCCACCAUGGCGGCAUCAGGUGUAGUGCUGACGGAACAGCACCAGGGGAGGGGGCAAGAGGGCUCACCUUCCCCUCCAAGCUGUGCAGGUGACUGAAGUCCAGAACACUUGCCCUGAACCCCUGAUCCUUCACUUCCCUCUUUUACCCUGAGUUCCGCAGCGCUCCCCAUAUGGAUAGCACUGCCUAGCCCAGGAGCUCCUGAGGGCAGGCCUCACAUCACACUCCAUCUCCACAUCCUUCCCAGGGUCCCUGCACAGGGCUGGACCUGCAAAGCCUCGCUCCCCAACGCACUUGUUUCAUCACUUCAAUUGGUCCAGCUUGCAGAGGGGAGCGGAUCUCCUCCUGGGCCCUGGCCUGCCCUCCCUGGCU